rnacentral:rRNA from 1 species
CCUACGGGUGGCUGCAGUGGGGAAUAUUGCACAAUGGGGGAAACCCUGAUGCAGCAACGCCGCGUGAGUGAAGAAGGUUUUCGGAUUGUAAAGCUCUGUUAGCAGGGGAGAGGAAGGACGGUACCUGCAGAGGAAGCCACGGCUAACUACGUGCCAACAGCCGCGGUAAUACGUAGGUGGCAAGCGUUAUCCGGAAUGACUGGGCGUAAAGGGUGCGUAGGUGGUUUAGUAAGUUGGCGGUGUAAUUCCGGGGCUCAACCUCGGCGCUACCGCCAAAACUAUCAGACUAGAGUGCAGGAGGGGUAAGUGGAAUUCGCAGUGUAGCGGUGGAAUGCGUAGAUAUCAGGAGGAACAUCAGGGGCGAAGGCGACUUACUGGACUGUAACUGACACUGAGGCACGAAAGCGUGGGGAGCAAACAGGAUUAGAUACCCGGGUAGUC